rnacentral:rRNA from 1 species
AUUGAACGCUGGCGGCAGGCCUAACACAUGCAAGUCGAGCGGUAACAGGAAAGAAGCUUGCUUCUUUUGCUGACGAGCGGCGGACGGGUGAGUAAUGCCUGGGAACAUGCCUUAGUGUGGGGGAUAACCAUUGGAAACGAUGGCUAAUACCGCAUAACGUCUACGGACCAAAGAGGGGGAUCUUCGGGCCUCUCGCGUCAGGAUAUGCCUAGGUGGGAUUAGCUAGUUGGUGAGGUAAUGGCUCACCAAGGCGACGAUCCCUAGCUGGUCUGAGAGGAUGAUCAGCCACACUGGAACUGAGACACGGGUCCAGACUCCUACGGGAGGCAGCAGUGGGGAAUAUUGCACAAUGGGCGCAAGCCUGAUGCAGCCAUGCCGCGUGUAUGAAGAAGGCCUUCGGGUUGUAAAGUACUUUCAGUCGUGAGGAAGGCAUUGCGUUAAUAGCGUAAGUGUUUGACGUUUAGCG